rnacentral:rRNA from 1 species
UGGGGAAUAUUGCACAAUGGGCGCAAGCCUGAUGCAGCCAUGCCGCGUGUGUGAAGAAGGCCUUCGGGUUGUAAAGCACUUUCAGCGGGGAGGAAGGCGUUAAGGUUAAUAACCUUGGCGAUUGACGUUACCCGCAGAAGAAGCACCGGCUAACUCCGUGCCAGCAGCCGCGGUAAUACGGAGGGUGCAAGCGUUAAUCGGAAUUACUGGGCGUAAAGCGCACGCAGGCGGUCUGUCAAGUCGGAUGUGAAAUCCCCGGGCUCAACCUGGGAACUGCAUUCGAAACUGGCAGGCUAGAGUCUUGUAGAGGGGGGUAGAAUUCCAGGUGUAGCGGUGAAAUGCGUAGAGAUCUGGAGGAAUACCGGUAGCGAAGGCGGCCCCCUGGACGAAGACUGACGCUCAGGUGCGAAAGCGUGGAGAGCAAACAGG